CCCGCCUCGUGAAUGCUGGAAUUCAUUCACCACCACUACCUGGCAAAAACAUGCACUCUAAAUCACUAACACCUCUGUCACAUACACUCCUGAGGUGCACUAACAUCUCUGUCACAUACACACCUGGGGUUCACUAAUACCUCUGUCACAUACACUCCUGAGGUUCACUAACACCUCUGUCACAUACACUCCUGAGGUUCACUAACACCUCUGUCACAUACACUCCUGAGGUUCACUAACACCUCUGUCACAUACACCCCUGAGGUUCACUAACACCUCUGUCACACACACUCCUGAGGUUCACUAACACCUCUGUCACACACACUCCUGAGGUUCACUAACACCUCUGCCACAUACACUCCUGAGGUUCACACGUCUGUCACAUACACUCCUGAGGUUCACUAACACCUCUGUCACAUACACUCCUGAGGUUCACUAACACCUCUGUCACACACACUCCUGAGGUUCACUAACACCUCUCUCACACACACUCCUGAGGUUCACUAACACCUCUCUCACACACACUCCUGAGGUUCUGAUAUAACUGCCUCAUGUCUCUUCCCUGGCAUAUUUCUUUGGGUGCCCUUUUCUCCCCCACUGGUAGCCUUUCUGCCUCUUGAGAAACCAUCUCCAUCAUCUUGUAGUAUGAAUCUUAUUUCUGAUGUGUUUAUGUUCUAGUAGAGUAUUUUGUAAUGGCAAAGGCUGUGUGGUCCUUCUAU
rnacentral:lncRNA from 1 species